rnacentral:rRNA from 1 species
AGGUCAAGUGAAGAAGGGCGCACGGUGAAUGCCUUGGCACUGGAAGCCGAUGAAGGACGCGACUAACCGCGAAAGUCUUCGGGGAGCCGUAAGUAGGCUUUGAUCCGGAGGUCUCCGAAUGGGGGAACCCAGCAUGUGCAGACAUGCUAUCCUUAAGUGAAUACAUAGCUUAAGGAGGGAACACGCAGUGAACUGAAACAUCUAAGUAGCUGCAGGAAGAGAAAGAAAUAUCGAUUUCCCAAGUAGCGGCGAGCGAACAGGAAAGAGCCCAAACCGUCAGAUUUAUCUGCCGGGGUUGUAGGACUGAGACAUGGCACUUCAGAGGAUAGCAGAAGCGUUUGGGAAAGCGCGCCAGAGAGGGUGAGAGCCCCGUAAGCGAAAUCCAAAGAAGGCCUAUCAGUAUCCUGAGUAGGGCGGGACACGUGAAAUCCCGUUUGAAUCCGCGAGGACCAUCUCGCAAGGCUAAAUACUAACCAGUGACCGAUAGUGAACCAGUACCGUGAGGGAAAGGUGAAAAGAACCCCGGGAGGGGAGUGAAAGAGAACCUGAAACCGUGUGCCUACAAGUAGUCAGAGCCCGUUAACGGGUAAUGGCGUGCCUUUUGUAGAAUGAACCGGCGAGUUGCGUUAGUCAGCAAGGUUAAGUCAGAAAAGACGGAGCCGUAGCGAAAGCGAGUCUGAAUAGGGCGAGCAGUUGGCUGACGCAGACCCGAAACCAAGUGACCUACCCAUGACCAGGUUGAAGGCGCGGUAAAACGCGCUGGAGGACCGAACCCACGUAAGUUGAAAAUUGCGGGGAUGAGUUGUGGGUAGCGGUGAAAUUCCAAACGAACUUGGAGAUAGCUGGUUCUCUCCGAAAUAGCUUUAGGGCUAGCCUCGCAAAGAGGAUGCUGGAGGUAGAGCUCUGUUUGGACUAGGGGCCCGUCAAGGGUUACUGAAUUCAGAUAAACU